rnacentral:rRNA from 1 species
AAUUGGAGGGCAAGUCUGGUGCCAGCAGCCGCGGUAAUUCCAGCUCCAAUAGCGUAUAUUAAAGUUGUUGCAGUUAAAAAGCUCGUAGUUGAAUUUCGGGAUCAGUACGCUGGUCGUGCCUCCGGUAUGUACUGGUGUCACUGAUUCCUCCCUUCUGAAGAACCAUCAUGCCAUUAAUUUGGUGUGGUGGGGAAUCAGGACUGUUACUUUGAAAAAAUUAGAGUGUUUAAAGCAGGCUAACGCUUGAAUACAUUAGCAUGGAAUAAUGAAAUAGGACGCUUAUCCUAUUUUGUUGGUUUCUAGGAUUGACGUAAUGAUUAAUAGGGAUAGUUGGGGGCAUUAGUAUUCAAUUGUCAGAGGUGAAACUCUUGGAUUUAUUGAAGACUAACUACUGCGAAAGCAUUUGCCAAGGAUGUUUUCAUUAAUCAAGAACGAAAGUUAGGGGAUCGAAGACGAUCAGAUACCGUCGUAGUCUUAACCAUAAACUAUGCCGACUAGGGAUCGGAUGAUGUUAAUUUUUUAAUGACUCAUUCGGCGCCUUACGGGAAACCAAAGUGU